rnacentral:pre_miRNA from 14 species
GGUCUGACUAUUUAAAUUGGUUUCCAUAUAUUUUGAUCUGGGCUUGAAAGACCCCCAGAGAAGGGAGACCCUCACUCAAGUCUCAGGAUGAUGCAACCCCCCAAAAACUCACUUAAGACC